rnacentral:rRNA from 1 species
GAAAAGCACUCUGAAGAGAGAGUCAAAAGACCGUGAAACCGCUCAGAGUAUAAGCCCAUGGAGUUCGGAAGGCAUACCGCCGCAAAGGAAUUUGCGACUUGGAAGGAAGGGCUAUCAGGCAUGGGGCAUUGAGUUGAUAACCCGCCGACGUGAGGAGGAGAGCGGGGGCGUGAGACUACGGUGUAGCGUCCUCAUCUCCUUUAAAAACCACGGAUAGUCAAGGCCUAAGGUUGCUGGCGGAACUGCCCACCACGGCUCGUUGUGAGGUCACCCACAGGCUCGACUGUCGAUCGCGUGUUCUCCUCGUUUAGCACUCGAGUGUUGUAGAUCCUCUCCUACGUAGGAGGGGGCAUGACACGCGCGGCGAGGUUCGCAUUCAAAUGAGCCGGACGACGACUGAGAUAAACCUGGUAUGAUCCUCGUGCGACGAGCCGCUUUCUGGCCAGAGCUGUGUCCGGGCCUUCGUCUCAUGUGCCGAGCGAGGCUUACCUAACCGGUGGCGGCUUGAGCCCUCUGUCGUCAUCCUCGUGGUGGCGACACGGUCCUCUCAGCCGGGUACAGCUCUGAGUGGUGUUAAGUCCGAUACCAUCGGUCACGUCUCGAAACACGGGCCAAGGAGUAUAGCAUGUGUGCAAGUCUAAGGGUCUCUCAAAACCCGGAGGCGAAGUGAAAGCAAGGUCGUGGCGGGUGAGCCUUCCUCACGGUUGGCAAAACCUCGUCAGCCGUAGCGUCAUUCGUGGCGCUUGGCUUGAGCGUGAGCUGAUACUACUAUUACGGAUAAGUCCUGAGGUAGUCGCAAGCUCCGGGCUCGCGUAUAGCACUGGUCGCUUGCGGCUGUGUUGCGAGCACCGUGAAGCAUGCAUGCUAUGACCCGAAAGAUAGUGAACUAUGCCUGGCGAGGGCGAAGCCCCAGGAAACUGGGGUGGAGGCCCGUAGCCGUUGUGACGUGCAAAUCCAUGGUAUCAGUUGGGCAUAGGGGCGAAAGACCAAUCGAACUAUCUAGUAGCU